GGCCUGGCUGGGUGGUCCACUGCUUCGGUGGUGAGUACUGCCUGCAAGCUGGGCCUUUCCUCCUGGGGAACCAGUGCGGGCUGCUUUCGGGCGGCUUGCGCUGGGGAGCCAGGACGUUUACCUUGAAAAAAUUAGAGUGUUCAAAGCAGGCGCACGCUUGCAUAGAUUAGCAUGGAAUAAUGGAAUAGGACCUGUGGUUCUGUUUUGUUGGUUUCUGGAACCGCGGUAAUGAUUAAUAGGGAUAGUUG
rnacentral:rRNA from 1 species